rnacentral:rRNA from 1 species
UACCAGCACCCCGAGUGGUCGGGACGAUUAUUGGGCCUAAAGCCUCCGUAGCCGGUUCUGCAAGUCUCCCGUUAAAUCCAACUGCUCAACAGGUGGGCUGCGGAGGAUACUACAGAGCUAGGAGGCAGGAGAGGCAAGCGGUACUCAGUGGGUAGGGGUAAAAUCCGUUGAUCCAUUGAAGACCACCAGUGGCGAAGGCGGCUUGCCAGAAUGCGCUCGACGGUGAGGGAUGAAAGCUGGGGGAGCAAACCGG